GAUGGCUGCGAUGCACUUGGGCGCUAUGUAUACUCAUGACGAUGAUGAAUCCUUCACUCCAUCGAAUUGAAUUUUUCAUAUUUGCUUACGAUGCUUGUGAUCUCAUCAUGAACAAAGCGCCUUUUGCUCAUCCGUGGCGGUGGACGUUAGUUGAACUCGUUAAAUCUUGCAGCAGCGCCAAACCAAAAUGGAGGUUUGCGGUAGAGAACGAAAAGCAAGAAUAAUGAAUAUUAACGGUUAGUUGUAUGUAAUAUUAGGUAGGAUAGCGUUGACGGUAUGUA